rnacentral:rRNA from 2 species
GGGGAAUAUUGCACAAUGGGGGAAACCCUGAUGCAGCGACGCCGCGUGGAGGAAGAAGGUCUUCGGAUUGUAAACUCCUGUUGUUGAGGAAGAUAAUGACGGUACUCAACAAGGAAGUGACGGCUAACUACGUGCCAGCAGCCGCGGUAAAACGUAGGUCACAAGCGUUGUCCGGAAUUACUGGGUGUAAAGGGAGCGCAGGCGGGAAGACAAGUUGGAAGUGAAAUCUAUGGGCUCAACCCAUAAACUGCUUUCAAAACUGUUUUUCUUGAGUAGUGCAGAGGUAGGCGGAAUUCCCGGUGUAGCGGUGGAAUGCGUAGAUAUCGGGAGGAACACCAGUGGCGAAGGCGGCCUACUGGGCACCAACUGACGCUGAGGCUCGAAAGUGUGGGUAGCAAACAGGAUUAGAUACCCUGGUAGUCCACACCGUAAACGAUGAUUACUAGGUGUUGGAGGAUUGACCCCUUCAGUGCCGCAGUUAACACAAUAAGUAAUCCACCUGGGGAGUACGACCGCAAGGUUGAAACUCAAAGGAAUUGACGGGGGCCCGCACAAGCAGUGGAGUAUGUGGUUUAAUUCGACGCAACGCGAAGAACCUUACCAAGUCUUGACAUCCUGCGACGAUGCUGGAAACAGUAUUUUCCUUCGGGACGCAGAGACAGGUGGUGCACGGUUGUCGUCAGCUCGUGUCGUGAGAUGUUGGGUUAAGUCCCGCAACGAGCGCAACCCUUACUGUCAGUUACUACGCAAGAGGACUCUGGCAGGACUGCCGUUGACAAAACGGAGGAAGGUGGGGAUGACGUCAAAUCAUCAUGCCCUUUAUGACUUGGGCUACACACGUACUACAAUGGCGUUAAACAAAGAGAAGCAAGACCGCGAGGUGGAGCAAAACUCAGAAACAACGUCCCAGUUCGGACUGCAGGCUGCAACUCGCCUGCACGAAGUCGGAAUUGCUAGUAAUCGUGGAUCAGCAUGCCACGGUGAAUACGUUCCCG